GGGGAUUUGGCUCAGUGGUAGAGCGCUUGCCUAGCAAGCAUAAGGCCCUGGGUUCAGUCCCCAGCUCCG
rnacentral:tRNA from 1 species